AUUGAACGCUGGCGGCAGGCCUAACACAUGCAAGUCGAACGAGUGGCGGACGGGUGAGUAAUGUCUGGGCACCUGCCCGAUGGAGGGGGAUAACUACUGGAAACGGUGGCUAAUACCGCAUACCAUCGGAUGUGCCCAGGUGGGAUUAGCUAGUAGGUGUGGUAACGGCUCACCAAGGCGACGAUCCCUAGCUGGGCUGAGAGGGUGACCAGCCACACUGGGACUGAGACAAGGCCCAGACGCCUACGGGAGGCAGCAGUGGGGAAUAUUGCACAAUGGGCGCAAGCCUGAUGCAGCCAUGCCGCGUGUAUGAAGAAGGCCUUCGGAUUGUAAAGCACUGUCAGCGAGGAGGCGUUACUCGCAGAAGAAGCACCGGCUAACUCCGUGCCAGCAGCCGCGGUAAUAC
rnacentral:rRNA from 1 species